AAGGCUUGACAUAUACAGGAAUAUGGCAGAGAUGUCAUAGCCGCAAGGUCUGUAUACAGGUGGUGCAUGGUUGUCGUCAGCUCGUGUCGUGAGAUGUUGGGUUAAGUCCCGCAACGAGCGCAACCCUCGUUCUGUGUUGCCAGCAUUAAGUUGGGGACUCACAGGAGACUGCCGGGGUUAACUCGGAGGAAGGUGGGGAUGACGUCAAAUCAUCAUGCCCCUUAUGUCUUGGGCUGCACGCAUGCUACAAUGGCUGGUACAAACGGCUGCGAUACCGCAAGGUGGAGCGAAUCCGAUAAAGCCAGUCUCAGUUCGGAUUGGGGUCUGCAACUCGACCCCAUGAAGUCGGAGUUGCUAGUAAUCGUAGAUCAGCAAC
rnacentral:rRNA from 1 species